GACGAACGCUGGCGGCGUGCUUAACACAUGCAAGUCGAGCGAUGAAGUUUCUUCGGAAAUGGAUUAGCGGCGAGCGGGUGAGGAACACGUGAAGAAUCUGCCCUCCACUUUGGGAUAACACAGGGAAACCUGUGCUAAUACCGAAUAUUGAAACAUAAGUGGCAUCACUGAGUUUUGAAAGAAUUUCGGUGGAGGAUGACUUCGCGGCCUAUCAGCUAGUUGGUGAGGUAAUGGCUCACCAAGGCAACGACGGGUAGCCGGCCUGAGAGGGCGACCGGCCACACUGGGACUGAGACACGGCCCAGACUCCUACGGGAGGCAGCAGUGGGGAAUAUUGGGCAAUGGAGGAAACUCUGGCCCAGCGACGCCGCGUGCGGGAUGAAGGCCUUCGGGUUGUAAACCGCUUUCAGUAGGGAAGAAGCGAAAGUGACGGUACCUACAAAAGAAGCACCGGCUAACUAUGUGCCAGCAGCCGCGGUAA
rnacentral:rRNA from 1 species